rnacentral:sRNA from 1 species
UACGUGCUUGUGGACGCUGGCCUUGCGGCUGGGUGCGUCUGGCGGUGUGGUGCUGAGUACUGAGGACUGUGCGCUCAACUCGUGGAGCGGGCUGGGUGUUCGGGGCCAGCGGCGGCAGCGGCAGGCACGGCGGCAGCAGCGGCAGGGUGGGGUGAACAGGCGGGGCCCAGUGGCCAGGCACACGAAGAGUCCCGCAUGCUGCUCCUGUACGCUGCCUAUAGCCAAGCUGCCGUCGGCCAGCACCGCGAUGCUGCCAUCGCGGGAUCCUGGCGCCCUGAGAAGCUCCUGCUGCGGCGAAACCCAGGCAAUGCGCAUGGCCGGGACGCUGGUGUUGCAGUAAAGCCUUAGGGACCGACCCACCAGCGCGUACAGGAGAGAGCGAGCCACAUCAGUGCUCCUGGCAGAUCCCUGCUUCCAGCUACGCUCAAUAUGCUAUCUCCUGGGACAGCCAGAGCCCCCAGCACCUGGCACUGCCCUGCCAGCCCCUGACCGGAAGCGCUUCUCCCUGCAGAGCUAUGCGGAUUAUAUCAGUGCCGAUGAACUGGCCCAAGUGGAACAGAUGCUGGCGCACCUGACCUCUGCAUCUGCCCAGGCAGCAGCUGCCUC